CGCCAUGUAUGUUUGGGUAUUAAAUGUCUGAAUUUUAGACACGGGCACCUAAGCUUUAUAUGUUACAGCGUGCAACACUAUUUUAAGAGUGGCCUAUCUCCAGAAGAGUGCUUUCAAUGGAGAAUGAAGUCUGGUCUUACAAGGGAAAUGUUUGCAUUCUGCUAUAUCUAGAUAAUCCAGAAUAUUCCUUAACUGAUUUGGCAGUAGUUUAGGUGUUCAAUCUGCCCUUCUUUGUGCUGCGUAAUGAUUCUGUCCAUGUUCUCAUUAUUAAAUUAUGACUGAAUUAUUCAUGUUCUUUGGGAAUUCAGUGCUCUUGAAAUGUCCAUAACACUUUGCUGGGUAAUGUGGCGGAAGGUAUUCAGAACGUAGGGCAGCAAGGGGCACAUUUCUGAACAGUGAGAAGCUGUUUUAUUAAAGAUGUUACAGGCCCCAAGAACACACUCUGUUCUUGAACUAAGAUUUAACGCGUGAAACAUGAGUAUUUUGUUGCAGGGACUGCUUCACAGUGGACUUUUAAUCUGUAUCGCAUGCAGUCUGCGUUUUUUUCUAUUACAGAGUGGAUUUUUUGAGGAAGCAAGGUGUGCCAUAUCACUUGUUCACUACGGAGUCCACAGUUACAUUAGGUAUCAUUGGACCCCUGUUUUCAUUUCCUUGUUGAUUUUGUUUGGCCUGGCUUUUGGCUCUAUCUCUAGUUGUCAGACUGGUAUUAUCAAUUCCUUGACCCUUCUUCUAGUACUUGUUAACUCAGGAGUCUCACCGUCUGUCUUGGGAUGCCACAGUCCUGCGAGGUAAGGGAAGAGGAUUGGAUUUUUUCAUAAUUUCAGAAGGCCGUAAUUUUAAAUCAAUAUUUUUUUCCUUUUCUUUACAGUUCAUAGUUGAUAAAAGGUCACAACAAUCAUAAACAAGUUAAGUUAGAACAAUGUGUUAAACUAAAAGCAUUAGAAGACUGUAAGUGGAUUUGCCUAAAUGUAUUACUAAUUCAUCUUGUAAACUCUAUAUCCUUAGUAAUACACAGCCUGGAAUAUGUCUGUCUUCAUGUUUAAAUUGGUGCCUGAUUACUGCUUGAUCAUCCUGGCCUGUGAAGAACAGAGCUCAUUAGCAUCAACAUGGUGGAAUGCUCUGCAUUCUAUGGAAUUUGAAAUGCAGAGACUAUCUACGACCACAGUUACUGAGACAAGGAAGCUAGAAGGGAAUAAUACCAAAAUCAACAGAAUUCAGCUGAUUUAAAGGCCAACUGUCUUUUGAGUCAUCUCCUUUUAAAAACACCUUAUGACCAGAGAGGACAAUAAUGAUAGCAGAAAGUCCUCUGUGCC
ensembl:lncRNA